GGCGGACGGGUGAGUAACGCGUGGGAACGUGCCCUUUGCUACGGAAUAGCCCCGGGAAACUGGGAGUAAUACCGUAUGUGCCCUUCGGGGGAAAGAUUUAUCGGCAAAGGAUCGGCCCGCGUUGGAUUAGGUAGUUGGUGGGGUAAUGGCCUACCAAGCCGACGAUCCAUAGCUGGUUUGAGAGGAUGAUCAGCCACACUGGGACUGAGACACGGCCCAGACUCCUACGGGAGGCAGCAGUGGGGAAUCUUAGACAAUGGGGGAAACCCUGAUCUAGCCAUGCCGCGUGAGCGAUGAAGGCCUUAGGGUUGUAAAGCUCUUUCAGGUGGGAAGAUAAUGACGGUACCACCAGAAGAAGCCCCGGCUAACUCCGUGCCAGCAGCCGCGGUAAUACGGAGGGGGCUAGCGUUGUUCGGAAUUACUGGGCGUAAAGCGCACGUAGGCGGAUCAGAAAGUCAGAGGUGAAAUCCCAGGGCUCAACCUUGGAACUGCCUUUGAAACUCCUGGUCUUGAGGUCGAGAGAGGUGAGUGGAAUUCCGAGUGUAGAGGUGAAAUUCGUAGAUAUUCGGAGGAACACCAGUGGCGAAGGCGGCUCACUGGCUCGAUACUGACGCUGAGGUGCGAAAGCGU
rnacentral:rRNA from 1 species